rnacentral:ncRNA from 1 species
CAUGGCUUCCAAGACGGCGGCCCCGGACGAGGGAUCAGUACCCGGAAUGCGACAAGACUGGCCACG